AUAGACCCUCGUUAGGCGAGGCGUUUGCUUGAGCAAAAGCCUCUGGUCCGAACCGUCGAGAGACGCCAAGGUAGUAUAAAAGGUGGGACCGAAUCAAGGUCUUGCUCAAUGCGGCUGGGAAGCUCCCUACGGUGGACAUUGCCAAAACUAUACCAGUGAGGUUGAUG
rnacentral:sRNA from 2 species